GACGAACGCUGGCGGCGUGCUUAACACAUGCAAGUCGAACGGAAAGGCCCGGCUUUUGUGGGGUGCGGGAGUGGAGAACGGGUGAGUAACACGUGAGUAACCUGUCCUUGACUGUGGGGUAACUUCAUGAAACUGGGGCUCAUACCGCAUAGGAGCUCUUGCUGCAUGAUGGGGGUGGGAAAGAUUCGGUGGUUGGGCAUGGACGUGCGGCUUAUCGGCUUGUUGGGUGGUUAGUGGAUUACCAAGGCUUGGAGGGGUAGCCGGCCUGCGAGGGUGACCGGCCCCAAUGGGCCUGGGGUGGGGCCCAGACUCCUACUGGAGGCAUCAGUGGAGAAUAGUGCACAAUAGGCGGAGUCAUUAUGCAGGCACUCCGCGUGGUGGAAGUCGGCCUGCGGGUUGGAAAGUGCUUUCGCCUGUGACGAAGCGUGAGUGACGGUAACGGGUAAAGAAGCACCGGCUAACUACGUG
rnacentral:rRNA from 1 species